CCAAGGUGAGGCUGAUGACUGGGAUGAAGUCGUAACAAGGUAGCCCUACCGGAAGGUGGGGCUGGAUCACCUCCUUU
rnacentral:rRNA from 1 species